AGGAUCUUGGUAAUGUAGUUAGGUCC
rnacentral:piRNA from 1 species